rnacentral:rRNA from 1 species
UAAGGAAUAUUGGUCAAUGGACGCAAGUCUGAACCAGCCAUGCCGCGUGAAGGAUGAAGGUCCUCUGGAUUGUAAACUUCUUUUAUCUGGGACGAAAACGGGAUUUUUAUCUCAAUUGACGGUACCAGAGGAAUAAGCACCGGCUAACUCCGUGCCAGCAGCCGCGGUAAUACGGAGGGUGCGAGCGUUAUCCGGAUUUACUGGGUUUAAAGGGUGCGUAGGUGGGCUUAUAAGUCAGUGGUGAAAUCUCCGAGCUUAACUUGGAAACUUCCGUUGAUACUAUAGGUCUUGAAUUAUCUGGAGGUAAGCGGCAUAUGUCAUGUAGCGGUGAAAUGCUUAGAUAUGACAUAGAACACCAAUUGCGAAGGCAGCUUACUACAUAUAAAUUGACGCUGAGGCACGAAAGCGUGGGGAUCAAACAG